GGAAUUGCUAGUAAUCGCGGAUCAGCAUGCCGCGGUGAAUACGUUCCCGGGCCUUGUACACACCGCCCGUCACACCAUGGGAGCCGGUAAUACCCGAAGUCAGUAGUCCAACCUCGUGAGGACGCUGCCGAAGGUAGGAUUGGCGACUGGGGUGAAGUCGUAACAAGGUACC
rnacentral:rRNA from 1 species